UUGCAGUUAAAAAGCUCGUAGUUGGAUUUCGGAAUGGGCCAGUUGGUCCGCCUCACGGUGUGUUACUGGCUGGUCUGUUCUUCUUCGCAAAGACUGCGUGUGCUCUUUACCGAGUGUGCGUAGGAUUUACGACGUUUACUUUGAAAAAAUUAGAGUGUUCAAAGCAGGCCUACCGCUUGAAUACAUGAGCAUGGAAUAAUGGAAUAGGACUUUGGUCUUAUUUUGUUGGUUUCUAAGACCGAAGUAAUGAUUAAGAGGGACAGUUGGGGGCAUUCGUAUUUCGUUGUCAGAGGUGAAAUUCUUGGAUUUACGAAAGACGAACAACUGCGAAAGCAUUUGCCAAGAAUGUUUUCAUUAAUCAAGAACGAAAGUUAGAGGAUCGAAGACGAUCAGAUACCGUCCUAGUUCUAACCAUAAACGAUGUCAACUAGGGAUCAGUGGGCGUUACAUACGACCUCAUUGGCACCUUAAGGGAAACCAAAGUUUUUGGAUUCCGGGGGAAGUAUGGUUGCAAAAGCUGAAACUUAAAGGAAUUGACGGAAGGGCACCACCAGGAGUGGAGCCUGCGGCUUAAUUUGACUCAACACGG
rnacentral:rRNA from 1 species